UGGGGAAUAUUGCACAAUGGGCGCAAGCCUGAUGCAGCAACGCCGCGUGAGGGACGACGGCCUUCGGGUUGUAAACCUCUUUUAGUAGGGAAGAAGCGAAAGUGACGGUACCUGCAGAAAAAGCACCGGCUAACUACGUGCCAGCAGCCGCGGUAAUACGUAGGGUGCGAGCGUUGUCCGGAAUUAUUGGGCGUAAAGAGCUCGUAGGCGGUCUGUCGCGUCUGCUGUGAAAACCCGAGGCUCAACCUCGGGCCUGCAGUGGGUACGGGCAGACUAGAGUGCGGUAGGGGAGAAUGGAAUUCCUGGUGUAGCGGUGGAAUGCGCAGAUAUCAGGAGGAACACCGAUGGCGAAGGCAGCUCUCUGGGCCGUAACUGACGCUGAGGAGCGAAAGCGUGGGGAGCGAACAGGAUUAGAUACCCUGGUAGUCCACGCCGUAAACGUUGGGCGCUAGAUGUGGGGACCAUUCCACGGUUUCCGUGUCGCAGCUAACGCAUUAAGCGCCCCGCCUGGGGGAGUACGGCCGCAAGGCU
rnacentral:rRNA from 1 species